rnacentral:rRNA from 1 species
AUGAACGCUGGCGGCGUGCCUAAUACAUGCAAGUCGAGCGAACAGACGAGGAGCUUGCUCCUCUGACGUUAGCGGCGGACGGGUGAGUAACACGUGGAUAACCUACCUAUAAGACUGGGAUAACUUCGGGAAACCGGAGCUAAUACCGGAUAAUAUAUUGAACCGCAUGGUUCAAUAGUGAAAGACGGUUUUGCUGUCACUUAUAGAUGGAUCCGCGCCGCAUUAGCUAGUUGGUAAGGUAACGGCUUACCAAGGCGACGAUGCGUAGCCGACCUGAGAGGGUGAUCGGCCACACUGGAACUGAGACACGGUCCAGACUCCUACGGGAGGCAGCAGUAGGGAAUCUUCCGCAAUGGGCGAAAGCCUGACGGAGCAACGCCGCGUGAGUGAUGAAGGUCUUCGGAUCGUAAAACUCUGUUAUUAGGGAAGAACAAAUGUGUAAGAAACUAUGCACGUCUUGACGGUACCUAAUCAGAAAGCCACGGCUAACUACGUG